rnacentral:rRNA from 1 species
GACGAACGCUGGCGGCGUGCCUAAUACAUGCAAGUAGAACGCUGAAGGAGGAGCUUGCUUCUCUGGAUGAGUUGCGAACGGGUGAGUAACGCGUAGGUAACCUGCCUGGUAGCGGGGGAUAACCAUUGGAAACGAUAGCUAAUACCGCAUAAGAGUAGAUGUUGCAUGACAUUUUCUUAAAAUGUUCAAUUGCAUCACUACCAGAUGGACCUGCGUUGUAUUUUCUAGUUGGUGAGGUAAAGGCUCACAAAGGCAACGAUACAUAGCCGAACUGAGAGGGUGAUCGGCCAAACUGGGAAGGGGAAACGGCCCAGGAUACUAAGGGAGGCAGCAGUAGGGAAACAUCGGCAAUGGACGGAAGACUGAACGAGCAAAGCCGCGUGAGUGAAGAAGGUUGUCGGAUCGUAAAGAUCUGUUGUAAGAGAAGAAAGAGUGUGAGAGUGGAAAGUUCACACUGUGACGGUAUCUUACCAGAAAGGGACGGCUAACUACGUG